AAAGUAAAAAAAAAAAAAAAGAUAUUUUCUUCUUCUCUCUUCUUCUCCUUCCCCAUUCUUCUAGAAACGUGGACUGCUCCCUCCGGUUGAAAUUUCUCAUCCGCUAACCAACACUCCAUCUCUAACUCUCCUCCGGUGCCGGAACGACGCCACAUUCAGUAACCGUGUGCCACAUCUCUCUCACUCCUUCCCGUCGACGGUACGUCCAACAUAUCUCCUUUUCUCUCCUCCAGCCGACACCACAACCCCGACCGCCGCUACGCCACUCGAAUCGCGAGACAACGACCACCCCACGCCGCAAUGCUGCUAUCCACGGUGUUUUUGAAGCCGUCAGACUUGAUCGGCACAAUCUGUUUGUGUUUCCUGGUUAGCCGAGCUGUGCAUCACUUAACCAUCUUCCGCCAUUAUUAGCAAGUCGAAUAGCCGCUAACCUAGUUCUUUUCCAACUCCAGGUUGAAAUUUCGGGGCCACAUUGAAUUAGGGAAAGGGCAUCUGGGGGAUCGAGUCACUAAUAGUAGCGGUUAAGGACCAAGUUUGAUUGAGCUCUCCAUCACCUUUGUAGAAUUUCCAUUUUGUAUGUAUAUACCUAACUUUUUAUUGCAUCAUGGGGUGGUAAGAUGUAGCGAAAGUGACACUAAGGAUUGGUGUUUUGAGAGAUCUCUCACUAGACUGAAAUCACUUUGUAUGUAAUAUCUAGUUUAACUCUGCUUGAAACUAUGGAAUAGUCUGGAUGAGUGUGUGGUGAGACACAUUUGAUGUGUUGUUGAAUCUAAAGAUUGUAUAUAUGCAUAUAGAAGUGAAAAUUUCUUCCUAUUUCAGGUUUGGCUAACUCAUAUUUUAGGGGAGAUGUUGGGAUUUCUGGAGAAUUUUAUAAUACUCGUGAAGUUUAGGUUGAGAAGGCAUUUAUUUCAAGAAGUGCUUUCAUGCCACGAUUUAGGUUAGAGGGGAAAAACCUAGAACGGGGUGUGACAAAUAAAUAUUGUUUUGUAAACGUGCAAUCAUUUGACUUUUUUAAAUAUGCAUUGUUUUUAUAUCAUACUAACGGGAUACAUACUUUAGCAGGUUGUUAGUCGUUACCUUGCAAUGGCCUCAGAAAACAUUGUUACAAUACUAACCAUCUUCACAGUGUUCCAACGUCUGUUAGUGUUAUUGAUGAUGUUGGACAAACUACUAAACGAAAAUGUGGAAAUUGUGAAUGUCAUUCGUGAUGCCAUAGAAUGUGCGAAUGACCAAUUGAGGACCAUUGCAGAGUGGCCAAAGUUAGCUAUGCAAGACGAAGACGCAACCCGAUUGGAAGUCAUUAGACAGUUGCGGGUUAUUCCUGAGCUAAGUGGAUUGGAUAGGGCACGGUGCCUGAGGAAGCUGAUGCAGAACUUGGCCGACAUGAAAGCAUUCCUGGUCGUACCCGAGGAGAUGAAGAUGGACUACUGUAAGGUCAUUCUACAAGAUGACGCGUGAUUGUUUGUCCUAUUCCAUUGCUUGUCUCGUAUUUUUUGUUGUUGCAUUAUGUUUCCUGUAUUUGAAUUUAGUUUAUAACUCCCUUGCACCCAUCUUUUUUCAUUUAGAUUUCUUUAGGUACAAAGGAAAUUAUGUUUUCAGUACUUUGUAUUUUUAAUUUUUAUAUACACGUAUUUAAAUUUUUAUGAA